rnacentral:rRNA from 1 species
UACGAAGGGUGCAAGCGUUAAUCGGAAUUACUGGGCGUAAAGCGUGCGUAGGCGGUUUCUUAAGUCUGCUGUGAAAUCCCCGGGCUCAACCUGGGAAUGGCAGUGGAUACUGGGAGGCUAGAGUGUGAUAGAGGAUGGUGGAAUUCCCGGUGUAGCGGUGAAAUGCGUAGAGAUCGGGAGGAACACCAGUGGCGAAGGCGACUACCUGGCCUGUUCUUGACGCUGAGGCGCGAAAGCUAGGGGAGCAAACGGG